rnacentral:lncRNA from 1 species
AUAAAAUUCACCCAGCGGACGUCCCCCACGGCCGGCCCCCAGGGAGUCAACGCAAACAGCUUGCCUGGCCCCCGCGUGGUGCACAGCGAGCGGGGGGGUCUCUGGCACGGCGGGCGGUGGGGACCUGCCAGGGAGCCCUGCGGUUAGCGUUGCCCGCUGCCCUCGUCCCGUGGCGAGCAUGAAACAUGCUGCUGCCUCCGCUGCCGGGGCCUCUCCCUCUGCCCGGCGUGGCCCUGGGGCUGCGGGGAAGGCAUUACUCCCUCCUGGCCUGCUUUCUCAUCAGUUUGCUAGACAUUUUCAAAAAUAAAUCAAGAACAGGCUUAAGAAAAACUCACAGACGCAUGAAUGUGCUUCCCAUUCCUGUUGAGGAGCAAAGUAACCUGACCACACUGAAGAGUGAAAACAUGUUCUCAGCUGGUUGCGCUCAUUAUUCCCAACUGGAACUGGUGACGCCAGUCUGUGAGCAAACCAUACAGCCGAGCCUGUCCUGCACGCCUCGACCCCGCUGUCUGCCUUGGCUGAUUACGUGUUCCUCAAACUCUUUGAGCCCCCAAAGCAUUUGCUCAGCCCUACCAGAAAGCGCACCUACUGCAAACCCGCUUUACCUCGUGUGAGGAAACUGAGCACCAGCCAGCAGCAAAAAACUGGUGAUGACUCAGUGGCCAGUGCUGCUGCUGGGCAGCGUGCCGAAGGGGACCAAAAAGUGCUGAGCCAGAGCUUCCUCCCUCAGCAGCCUCACAAGCCCGCAGCCGGUCCCCUUGACGGGUAGAGGAAACACACAGCUGCUGUUACUGAACACAGACUCCAAAAAAGGGUUUAUUCCACUGUGAAGUUACGAUGGCCUUGACCUGCUUUGCAGCCACCGCGACGCUCUGCCAGGCUGCCAAAUCGAGUGAUACCAAACAGCCAAAUCCACCCAAUGGCAGCAAAGCAAAGGCACGGGUUCCCGUGGGACCGGCUGUGCUUCCUGCCUCGGAGCAACGUCAGGUCGCGGCUUCCUCCUGAUCCUGGCUGGGCUGCAGCAGCUGCUCCCCUGGGCCAGCUCUGCCCAGCCUUGGAGAAAACAGCACCCAGGACAGACAGACCUCCGAAUGCUCUUAACCCUGCCCAAAUCAGAGCAGCAAUGAGCAGAGAGAGCGUGAGUUUAGUGAGCUUCCCCAAAUACAUAUGCUUUGCAGCUGCACAGCCGAGGAACGGUUGUGUCUUCUUGGACAUGUUGAAGGACUUGUAUGCCUGAAAGCCUGGCUGUUAUUUGUCUAAUUAUAUAAUUUGGCUUAAUAAAAGCUAUUACCUCUCCA